GAUUAUCAAUUUCGAGUGGGUUCAGUGGCUCACACCUGGAAUCCCAGUACUUUGAGAGGCAGAGGAGAACAUGAAGAGAAAAUGUGAUUAUAAUCACAACCGGAACAUCCUGCUCAUUGAGGGUAUUUAGUUAAAGGAUAUUGUGAUUUAUCAAAACUUCUGUGAACUCACCUUUCUACCACCUGAUUGGUCAAAAUGAAUGGAAUAAGAUGAAGCUGAAUUGCAGUAGGGCAAUCCUUUUUUCUUGGCAUCUUCAUUAGCCUUCAACCCACAACUCUUUAAUUUAACCCUGGGAUAAGCAAAUCUGUAUUUAUACCAGAUUUUUGCAGCACAAAGGAUACUGUUGGCCCUGGGGUGGGUUUGUGCUAUGAUUUCCCCACUGUGUCUUCUGUUUUAUUCCAGAUAAGAAAAAGAAUAAAAAUAGAGAAAAUUCA
rnacentral:lncRNA from 10 species